AAGGACGGCGAUAUCAACUGCAGGUCUGUAGACUUUUUAAGAGAUCAUGCUCUUUCACAUUUACCAGCUAAAAGAAGCCAUUGGAAGUUUUAACAAUCUGCUUUGAAAUCAUCUUAGGUGAGGUGGCCAUAUGCUUAGUGGAGUAUCUAUUUCAUUUGGGGUGACAUACCAAUGAUUACAAGCAAACAAGAGGAGGCAUUCUUCAUAAUAUUUUGAAAUACACAUGACACCCUGCUGUAUCCUUUAUUCAUGGUCCCCUAGGCUUUCAACACUUUUCUGCUUUUUGCCACCUAAUGUUGCAGAUUUAUUGAGCCUUUCCCUGUCUCAUAUCUGGAAUCAGCCAUUUCUUAGAGAAGCCCGACUCCCUAGCAUUUGGGAAUCAAGAUCUGAGAGCCAUGUGUGUUCACUGCUUCUGUGUCAUCAUCAACUCUAGGCCCUUUCAGUAGAAAAGCAAGAAAAUAUUUGCAUAUUUAAGCCAUGAGAUCAUUCUGACGUAUCUAAUUCAAAUUUUA